AAUGAGGUGCUGGGCUUUUGAAGGCAGUGUGAGGGCUCUGAAAGAGUCCCAGAGUCCUCCUGCCUCCUUCCCAAAGCCUAGUUAGCACAUUACCAGCUUUGGGAAGAAGAUGGGAGGGCUCUAAGACCCUUGCAGAGCCUUGUACCUCCUUCCCAAAGCCCAACACUUCACUU